rnacentral:rRNA from 1 species
UACGUAGGGGGCUAGCGUUGUCCGGAAUCAUUGGGCGUAAAGAGCGUGUAGGCGGCCAGGUAGGUCUGCUGUGAAAACUCGAGGCUUAACCUCGAGCUGUCGGCGGAAACCAUCUGGCUAGAGUCCGGAAGAGGAGAAUGGAAUUCCCGGUGUAGCGGUGAAAUGCGCAGAUAUCGGGAAGAACACCCGUGGCGAAGGCGGUUCUCUGGGACGGUACUGACGCUGAGACGCGAAAGCGUGGGGAGCGAACGGG